rnacentral:rRNA from 1 species
UACGGAGGGUGCGAGCGUUGUUCGGAAUCACUGGGCGUAAAGCGCGUGUAGGCGGCUCGAUAAGUCUGAUGUGAAAGCCCGGGGCUCACCCCCGGAAGUGCAUUGGAUACUGUUGAGCUCGAGUCCCGGAGAGGAGAGUGGAAUUCCUGGUGUAGCGGUGAAAUGCGUAGAUAUCAGGAGGAACACCGGUGGCGAAGGCGGCUCUCUGGACGGUGACUGACGCUGAGAUGCGAAAGCGUGGGGAGCAAACAGG